rnacentral:rRNA from 1 species
AGCGAACGCUGGCGGCAGGCUUAACACAUGCAAGUCGAGCGGGCGUAGCAAUACGUCAGCGGCAGACGGGUGAGUAACGCGUGGGAACGUACCUUUUGGUUCGGAACAACACAGGGAAACUUGUGCUAAUACCGAAUAAGCCCUUACGGGGAAAGAUUUAUCGCCGAAAGAUCGGCCCGCGUCUGAUUAGCUAGUUGGUAGGGUAAUGGCCUACCAAGGCGACGAUCAGUAGCUGGUCUGAGAGGAUGAUCAGCCACAUUGGGACUGAGACACGGCCCAAACUCCUACGGGAGGCAGCAGUGGGGAAUAUUGGACAAUGGGGGCAACCCUGAUCCAGCCAUGCCGCGUGAGUGAUGAAGGCCCUAGGGUUGUAAAGCUCUUUUGUGCGGGAAGAUAAUGACGGUACCGCAAGAAUAAGCCCCGGCUAACUUCGUGC